rnacentral:pre_miRNA from 1 species
UGAGAGUUCAAAAGAUUUAGCAAUUUUAUACGAGUGAAAUUGAAAUCUCUUCAACUUUCAGA